GAGUUUGAUCCUGGCUCAGAACGAACGCUGGCGGCGUGCCUAACACAUGCAAGUCGAACGUGAUUGGGGAGCUUGCUCCUCAUGAAAGUGGCGCACGGGUGAGUAACGCGUAGAUAAUCUACCUGAUGAUCCGGGAUAACACUUCGAAAGGGGUGCUAAUACCUGAUAAGCCCACGGAGUCCUUGGACUCUGCGGGAAAGGGGGGGAUCGCAAGACCUUCCGUCAUCAGAUGAGUCUGCGUACCAUUAGCUAGUUGGUAGGGUAAAGGCCUACCAAGGCGACGAUGGUUAGCUGGUCUGAGAGGAUGAUCAGCCACACUGGAACUGAGACACGGUCCAGACUCCUACGGGAGGCAGCAGUGGGGAAUUUUGCGCAAUGGGGGAAACCCUGACGCAGCAACGCCGCGUGAGUGAUGAAGGCCCUUGGGUCGUAAAGCUCUGACAGAGGGAAAGAAGUGCAGGGGAGCUAAUACCUCCUUUGCUUGACGGUACCCUCAAAGGAAGCACCGGCUAACUCCGUGCCAGCAGCCGCGGUAAUAC
rnacentral:rRNA from 1 species